CAGUCGCCGCGGGAAUACGUAGGUGGCAAGCGUUGUCCGGAAUUAUUGGGCGUAAAGGGCUCGCAGGCGGUUUCUUAAGUCUGAUGUGAAAGCCCCCGGCUCAACCGGGGAGGGUCAUUGGAAACUGGGAAACUUGAGUGCAGAAGAGGAGAGUGGAAUUCCACGUGUAGCGGUGAAAUUCGUAGAGAUGUGGAGGAACACCAGUGGCGAAGGCGACUCUCUGGUCUGUAACUGACGCUGAGGAGCGAAAGCGUGGGGAGCGAACAGGAUUAGAUACCCGAGUAGUCCCUGUCUCUUAUAC
rnacentral:rRNA from 1 species